rnacentral:rRNA from 1 species
AUACGGAGGGUGCAAGCGUUAAUCGGAAUUACUGGGCGUAAAGAGUACGUAGGUGGUUCGUUAAGUCAGAUGUGAAAGCCCAGGGCUCAACCUUGGAACUGCAUUUGAAACUGGCAAACUAGAGUAUGGUAGAGGGGGGUAGAAUUCAUGGUGUAGCGGUGAAAUGCGUAGAUAUUAUGAGGAAUACCAGUGGCGAAGGCGGCCCCCUGGACCAAUACUGACACUGAGGUACGAAAGCGUGGGUAGCGAACAGGAUUAGAAACCCUAGUAGUCC